CUGCUCAGGACGAACGCUGGCGGCGUGCCUAAUACAUGCAAGUCGAGCGAACAGAGAAGGAGCUUGCUCCUUCGACGUUAGCGGCGGACGGGUGAGUAACACGUGGGCAACCUACCUUAUAGUUUGGGAUAACUCCGGGAAACCGGGGCUAAUACCGAAUAAUCUGUUUCACCUCAUGGUGAAACACUGAAAGACGGUUUCGGCUGUCGCUAUAGGAUGGGCCCGCGGCGCAUUAGCUAGUUGGUGAGGUAACGGCUCACCAAGGCGACGAUGCGUAGCCGACCUGAGAGGGUGAUCGGCCACACUGGGACUGAGACACGGCCCAGACUCCUACGGGAGGCAGCAGUAGGGAAUCUUCCACAAUGGGCGAAAGCCUGAUGGAGCAACGCCGCGUGAGUGAAGAAGGAUUUCGGUUCGUAAAACUCUGUUGUAAGGGAAGAACAAGUACAGUAGUAACUGGCUGUACCU
rnacentral:rRNA from 1 species